GAUGAACGCUGGCGGCGUGCCUAAUACAUGCAAGUCGAGCGAACAGACGAGGAGCUUGCUCCUCUGACGUUAGCGGCGGACGGGUGAGUAACGCGUGGAUAACCUACCUAUAAGACUGGGAUAACUUCGGGAAACCGGAGCUAAUACCGGAUAAUAUAUUGAACCGCAUGGUUCAAUAGUGAAAGACGGUUUUGCUGUCACUUAUAGAUGGAUCCGCGCCGCAUUAGCUAGUUGGUAAGGUAACGGCUUACCAAGGCAACGAUGCGUAGCCGACCUGAGAGGGUGAUCGGCCACACUGGAACUGAGACACGGUCCAGACUCCUACGGGAGGCAGCAGUAGGGAAUCUUCCGCAAUGGGCGAAAGCCUGACGGAGCAACGCCGCGUGAGUGAUGAAGGUCUUCGGAUCGUAAAACUCUGUUAUUAGGGAAGAACAAAUGUGUAAGUAACUAUGCACGUCUUGACGGUACCUAAUCAGAAAGCCACGGCUAACUACGUG
rnacentral:rRNA from 1 species